GACGAACGCUGGCGGCGUGCCUAAUACAUGCAAGUAGAACGCAGUUGCGAACGGGUGAGUAACGCGUAGGUACCUGCCUCAUAGCGGGGGAUAACUAUUGGAACCGUUAUCUAAUACCCCAUACUGUGAUAUGGACCUGCGUUGGAUUAGCUAGUUGGUGAGGUAAAGGCCCACCAAGGCGACGAUACAUAGCCGGCCUGAGAGGGUGAUCGGCUACACUUGGACAGAGAAACGGGCCCGACUGCCUCCGGAGGCAGCAGUAGGGGAAUUUUGGCAAUGGAGGGAAGGCUUGCCGCGCAACGCCGGGUGAGUGAAGAAGGUUUUCGGAACGUAAAGGUCUGUUGUUAGAGAAGCGGUAACUAAAGAGAAAGGGACGGCUAACUACGUGCCAGCAGCCGCGGUAAUUC
rnacentral:rRNA from 1 species